CCUACGGGUGGCUGCAGUGGGGAAUAUUGCACAAUGGGGGAAACCCUGAUGCAGCGACGCCGCGUGAGUGAGGGAGCGUUUCGGCGUGUAAAGCCCUAUCGGCAGGGAAGAAAAUGACGGUACCUGACCAAGAAGCCCCGGCUAACUACGUGCCAGCAGCCGCGGUAAUACGUAGGGGGCAAGCGUUAUCCGGAUUUACUGGGUGUAAAGGGGGCGCAGACGGCAAAGCAAGUCAGGAGUGAAAACCCAGGGCCCAACCCCGGGACUGCUGUUGAAACUGCAUAGCUGGAGUACAGGAGGGGGAGGCGGAAUUCCUAGUGUAGCGGUGAAAUGCGUAGAUAUUAGGAGGAACACCAGUGGCGAAGGCGGCCUGCUGGACUGUGACUGACGUUGAGGCCCGAAGGCGUGGGGAGCAAACAGGAUUAGAUACCCGGGUAGUC
rnacentral:rRNA from 1 species